AGCUUUGUGCAGUGGCAGUAUCGUAGCCAGUGAGGUUUAUCGGAGGCGUGAUCACUGCUAAUUGAAAACUUUUCUAUAAAGGAACUGGUCUGUAGUUAAAAAAAAAAAAAUCAAUGUCACAAAGGAC
rfam:Homo sapiens chromosome 11, GRCh38 reference primary assembly.